GAUGAACGCUAGCGACAGGCCUAACACAUGCAAGUCGAGGGGCAGCACGGUGUAGCAAUACACGGGUGGCGACCGGCGCACGGGUGAGUAACGCGUAUGCAACCUGCCUACUACAAGGGGAUAGCCCGUUGAAAGACGGACUAAUACCCUAUAACACAGGGAAUCCGCAUGGAUAUAUUUGUUAAAGAUUUAUCGGUAGUAGAUGGGCAUGCGUUCCAUUAGCUUGUUGGUGAGGUAACGGCUCACCAAGGCAACGAUGGAUAGGGGAACUGAGAGGUUGAUCCCCCACACUGGAACUGAGACACGGUCCAGACUCCUACGGGAGGCAGCAGUGAGGAAUAUUGGUCAAUGGACGAGAGUCUGAACCAGCCAAGUCGCGUGAAGGAAGACGGCCCUACGGGUUGUAAACUUCUUUUGAAGGGAAUAAAUAGUCUUACGCGCUAAAGCGUUGCAGGUACCUUACGAAUAAGGAUCGGCUAACUCCGUGCCAGCAGCCGCGGUAAU
rnacentral:rRNA from 1 species